rnacentral:rRNA from 1 species
UAAGGUGGCUAUGGCGAUGGGGUUCCACCUCUUCCCAUUCCGAACAGAGAAGUUAAGCCCAUCAGCGCCGAUGGUACUGCUAACGCGGGAGAGUAGGUCGCCGCCGACU